GCGAGAGUGGCGGAAUUGGCAGACGCGCCGGACUUAGGAUCCGGUCCUUCACGGGGUGGGGGUUCGAGUCCCCCCUUUCGCA
rnacentral:tRNA from 1 species